rnacentral:rRNA from 1 species
CCUACGGGGUGCAGCAGUGAGGAAUAUUGGUCAAUGGCCGGAAGGCUGAACCAGCCAUGCCGCGUGAAGGUCAGUGCCCUAUGGGCGUUAAACUUCUUUUGUGCGGGAGCAAUAAUGGUCACGUGUGGCCAGACGAGAGUACCGUACGAAUAAGCAUCGGCUAACUCCGUGCCAGCAGCCGCGGUAAUACGGGGGAUGCAAGCGUUAUCCGGAUUUAUUGGGUUUAAAGGGUGCGUAGGCUGUGAGGUAAGUCAGCGGGGAAAUGCCCCCGCUCAACGGGGUGAAGUGCCAUUGAUACUGCCUUGCUGGAAUGCGGAUGCCGUGGGAGGAAUGUGUGGUGUAGCGGUGAAAUGCAUAGAUAUCACACAGAAUACCGAUUGCGAAGGCAUCUCACGAAUCCGCGAUUGACGCUGAUGCACGAAAGCGUGGGUAUCAAACAGGAUUAGAUACCCGAGUAGUC